GACGAACGCUGGCGGCGCGCCUAACACAUGCAAGUCGAACGAGAGAGAGGAAGCUUGCUUCCUCAAUCGAGUGGCGAACGGGUGAGUAACGCGUGAGGAACCUGCCUCAAAGAGGGGGACAACAGUUGGAAACGACUGCUAAUACCGCAUAAGCCCACAGGUCGGCAUCGACCAGAGGGAAAAGGAGUAAUCCGCUUUGAGAUGGCCUCGCGUCCGAUUAGCUAGUUGGUGAGGUAACGGCCCACCAAGGCGACGAUCGGUAGCCGGACUGAGAGGUUGAACCGGCCACAUUGGGACUGAGACACGGCCCAAACUCCUACGGGGAGACAGCCAGUUAGGAAUAUUCGUCAAUGGGGGAAACCCUGGAACGAGCAAGUGCCGCGUGAGCGAAGAAGUAUUUCGGGAUGUAAAGCUCUAUCAGCAGGGAAGAUAAUGACGGUACCUGACUAAGAAGCACCGGUCUAAAUACGUGCCAGC
rnacentral:rRNA from 1 species